rnacentral:rRNA from 1 species
GAUCAUACAGAAUCACUACCGAUGACAACGGGUAGGAAGGUGGGGAUGACGUCAUGUCAUCAUGGCCCUUACGGCCUGGGCUACACACGUGCUACAAUGGUCGGUACAGAGGGUUGCCAAGCCGCGAGGUGGUGCUAAUCCCACAAAACCGAUCGUAGUCCGGAUCGCAGUCUGCAACUCGACUGCGUGAAGUCGGAAUCGCUAGUAAUCGCGAAUCAGAAUGUCGCGGUGAAUACGUUCCCGGGCCUUGUACACACCGCUCCGUCACACCAUGGGAUGUGGGUUGCACCAGAAGUAGCUUAG